UACGAAGGGGGCUAGCGUUGUUCGGAUUUACUGGGCGUAAAGCGCACGUAGGCGGAUCUUUAAGUCAGAGGUGAAAUCCCAAGGCUCAACCUUGGAACUGCCUUUGAUACUGAGGAUCUUGAGUACGGGAGAGGUGAGUGGAACUGCGAGUGUAGAGGUGAAAUUCGUAGAUAUUCGCAAGAACACCAGUGGCGAAGGCGGCUCACUGGCCCGUUACUGACGCUGAGGCACGAAAGCGUGGGGAGCAAACAGG
rnacentral:rRNA from 1 species